rnacentral:rRNA from 1 species
GAUGAACGCUGGCGGCGUGCCUAAUACAUGCAAGUCGAGCGAACAGACGAGGAUCUUGCUCCUCUGACGUUAGCGGCGGACGGGUGAGUAACACGUGGAUAACCUACCUAUAAGACUGGGAUAACUUCGGGAAACCGGAGCUAAUACCGGAUAAUAUAUUGAACCGCAUGGUUCAAUAGUGAAAGACGGUUUUGCUGUCACUUAUAGAUGGAUCCGCGCCGCAUUAGCUAGUUGGUAAGGUAACGGCUUACCAAGGCGACGAUGGGUAGCCGACCUGAGAGAGUGAUCGGCCACACUGAAACUGAGAGACGGUCCAGACUCCUACGGGAGGCAGCAGGAGGGAAUCUUCCGCAAUGGGCGAAAGCCUGACGGAGCAACGCCGCGUGAGUGAUGAAGGUCUUCGGAUCGUAAAACUCUGUUAUUAGGGAAGAACAAAUGUGUAAGUAACUAUGCACGUCUUGACGGUACCUAAGCAGAAAGCCACGGCUAACUACGU